AGGAUAAACGCUGGCGGCGUGCCUAACACAUGCAAGUCGAACGCCCUUUUCCUUCGCAAGAGGGGGGAGGGAGUGGCGGACGGGUGAGUAACACGUGGGCAACCUGCCCCUAGCACUGGGAUAAGCCCGGGAAACCGGGUCUAAAUACCGGAUAUGACCUUCGAGGGCAUCCUUGAAGGUGUAAAGGAUUCUGGCUAGGGAUGGGCCCGCGGCCUAUCAGCUUGUUGGUGGGGUAAUGGCCUACCAAGGCGACGACGGGUAGCCGGCCUGAGAGGGCGACCGGCCACACUGGGACUGAGACACGGCCCAGACUCCUACGGGAGGCAGCAGUGGGGAAUCUUGCACAAUGGGCGAAAGCCUGAUGCAGCGACGCCGCGUGAGGGAUGACUGCCUUCGGGUUGUAAACCUCUUUCAGCAGGGACGAAGCGAAAGUGACGGUACCUGCAGAAGAAGACACCGGCCAACUACGCGCCAGCAGCCGC
rnacentral:rRNA from 1 species